UACUCAAGACUCUUAUUCCUUUACAACUCAUAAUUCUUCUCUAAGAAACAACCUCCUAACCCUAGCCGGCCUCUUCACCUCUUUAAUAGGAGUCGGCUUAGGUAGGUUUUACAUGAAUGUCCCUCUCAAUUAGGACUCUCCUAGCUAGAGUCCUAAUAGACCCGCCCUCUUCAAAUCAGCCUUGUCCUCGAGACUGACGAUUCAUGAAUUUUAGGAAUUUGAUCUUCAAGUUGUCAUAGUUCUCCCAAGUGGCAUCUUUUGUUGGUAGGUUCACC
rnacentral:lncRNA from 1 species